rnacentral:lncRNA from 1 species
AACAGACUGAACCCAUGGAAUAGAAGAUGCAAUGGAUGCUUCUUGCACAGAAGAAGAACACUGCUGCCUUCUCAAUGGAAGUGAUGUUACAAGGACUGUCCCACUGAGAUCAAUGAGGUGUGCUGCUCACGACCUGCUUUUCUCACCGUUCUCUCCCCCAUUACUUUCAUGCUCUUUUCUUUCUGUUCAGGGUUUUGUUGUUGUGAGCGCAUGCAAACCUGUUUAAAAGAAGAAAAUACUAAAAAAAAAAAAAUGACUGUUAAAUGUAGAACCGUAUGACAUGUAAACAGCUACUUCUGAGGCUUUCAGGAACACAGAGCAACACCUGUGUCUGAAACUGCUAUUCUGUCGUCUUCACCCCAAGCCUCCAUCCUGAAGGCUCUUUCAUCUUAUCUUGUUUUUUUCCUCCCUUUAGCAGUUUGGUUUUCAGUGUUUGAAACUCUCAGAGGAGUUGGUCUGUGCUCGUCCUAAAUGGUUUUUGGUGGAACAGUUUUGUUUUAUCGACGUGUG